AGCCCUUGACAUGGACGUCGCGACUUCAGAGAUGAAGUUUUCGGUUCGGCCGGACGUUACACAGGUGCUGCAUGGCUGUCGUCAGCUCGUGUCGUGAGAUGUUGGGUUAAGUCCCGCAACGAGCGCAACCCUCAUCCUUAGUUGCCAUCAGUUCGGCUGGGCACUCUAGGGAAACUGCCGGUGAUAAGCCGGAGGAAGGUGGGGAUGACGUCAAGUCCUCAUGGCCCUUAUGGGCUGGGCUACACACGUGCUACAAUGGCGACUACAGUGGGCAGCGACAUCGCGAGGUGAAGCUAAUCUCCAAAAGUCGUCUCAGUUCGGAUUGCACUCUGCAACUCGGGUGCAUGAAGUUGGAAUCGCUAGUAAUCGCGGAACAGCAUGCCGCGGUGAAUACGUUACGCGGGCCU
rnacentral:rRNA from 1 species